rnacentral:lncRNA from 1 species
UGUUCUUGUUUUAUACAUUAGAGUUCCAGAUAACGGACACCCACACGAGUACAAGUUUUGUCACAGUUGUACUAAUACCAGCAAACAACCUUGUUUAACAGUUAUUGAACAUGUUGCUAUAUCAUUGGUAUUCGAGACGUAUACAGAGCAACUUCAGAUGGUUCUGACGUCACCAUCCGAAACCCGCUCUGUUCUUACGAGGAAGGCAAAGGGAUUAAACGGAACGACAUCAGGGCAGUUGAUCUCCGUACACUUUUGGGAUGAAUCAGCUGUCGGUGAAUGGACGUCCAGCCUUCCGUUUUGGGGUCGUUCACAGACAAACGUUACUAGCAUAUCACUGAAGUUAUAUGGAACAAACAGGAACCAGAAGGAUUUCAAAAGUCACAAGUGUGGUGUUAAUUUGGGAGAUAAAUACCAUCAAGCAAACCCAUCCAAACAACUAGAUCAGCCUUUUGAUAAUUUUGGUCUUGACAAACAAGUAUACGUAGCAUGUAUUUGUAUUACUUUCCUGAUACUAGCAAUUUUUGUAAUGUGGGAGUGCAAAAAAGGAAGAUUAAUUUUAGAAGAAAUGACAAAGAGAUGAAAUUAAAUUGACGGUGACAUAUAGUAGGCCAAAACAAUGUGUUUAAUGUCUAAACUUUUAAUGAAUUAAUGUAGCAAUCUGUACCUAAAUCAGUGUAUUUAAAAUCACAUAUUGUUAGUACAGUGUAGGAUAGUUAUUAAUCUAUAUUCUGAAAGCUAUGCUAAACAGAAAUUGACUGAAUAAGUUUGCAGAUGAAGUAGUGAAAACACAUUUAUUCGGGAAGGACCUAAAUUGUCCUCCCAGAAAACUUGUAGCUGAACGUUACUUGUAUUAUAAGAUUGAUUUUCAUGAUGUUUUUGUGAGUUAAAAAUAUGUUGAAUUCUGUAUGCUAUGUUUGUAAACAUCACGUUAAUGUUGGGGCAUAUGACAUAUUUUGCAUCUAUUUAUAAAUUAUAGCCUCCUCGUUUCGGAGCAUUCUUCCGAUAAAAAAAGUCGAAAAAAGGCUUUGUAAGCAAUCGGAAAACAUACUUCCGUUUUGAAAUAGGCAAAAGACUUUUGUUUAUUUAUUGGUUAUUCUCUAACAUACUCAUGACUAUUUGGUAAGAUCCGAUGCAGUGGAUCAUAUUUUCAGUAAGUAUAAAGUCUCAGCUACAAGAUUUGGUUUUCAUAUUAUACUCGUUCGGGUGUUAUUAGUGGACCUUUAACGGAAUUUAUUUCAAAGUAAUCAUAUAUUGCUAGAUAUUUUGCUGGUCAGUUUUAUUCUAAAUGAUUCAGUUUUUGUCAUUCUGUUUAAUUAUUCUGGACACAACCAACUGUUGAGAUAUCAGGCGCUGAUGUUUUAAUAUCAUAGGCUAAAACUGUCUUUCAAAAGGUUCAAAGGGUCUCUUUAGUACCUAAUGCGAAUGUUUGUAAAAUAUAGAAAAGCGACACUCUACACGUAAGCAUUAAAUAUGUAAACUACUUAUAAAUUGUAAUAAAAUACUAGAUAUGCUUAAUACUUACUUACUGUAAUAUAAAUACUAUAUGCUUAAUACUAUAUAUAUUUGGUUUCCAAAACGGAAGAAGUUCCACAAUAAGGGAAAAUAUAAGAAAUUAGAAAAUAAAUGCCCAAAGAUACAUUUAUUAUUUAUUAUUCAUUCCUCGACCGGUUUCAACAAAAUUAUCAUCAGAAGGAUAGUAACGUUCAUUAAUAAGGACGACGUUGUCCCUAGUUACAAGGGACGUUACUCUUAUAGAAUGACGUCGUCUAUAUUUUUGACGGAAUUUAAAUCACAUUGUCGUCUCUGGUAUUUUGAUAUGUAAUUUUAAUUGUUUAUAUAUUAAUUUAUGUUGUUCUUGUUGUGUUAUUUGCACCGUCUCUGUUCGGUCUAGGUUUUAAUUGUCUCAUAAAGUUCACAAUUCCUUCUGCAUUUCUGCUAACUAUACUAUCUGUGAACAUUUUGAAAAAUGGUGACAUCUCGCAUGUGUUGGUUGUGUAGAGUUACGCGGUUUCUUUAAAAGUUUGAAGUCUAUCCUGUAUAUUCUAAUUUGCAGCCCUGGCACUGUCUUACAUAGAUGACGUUCUUCACAUCGCAUGUCCUGGAUUUAUUGAUAAUUGACAAUUAUAAGAAUAUGCGCUACCUUUCAACAGAUACUGGCAUAGUCCACAAUUCGGCCGUCUGCACUUUUUUACCCCUAGUUGUGUCCUACGUUCAUCCAACCUUCAUCUUGUAAGAAGAUGUUUAAGGUUCGGGGGUUAUCUUUUACUUUUAGUUAUUUUAUAUUUUGAAAGAACUUCAUUCAUAACUAUGUUACAUUUCAUUUCAUUUAUGUCUUCCCUGAUUUGUCCAAAUACUUCUGGGUCUAGUGGAUUGAAUGUACUGAUAUAUGGUAUCGUGUCCUCUUUCGUUGUAUGAAUAGUUUCGGAGAGAAUUACUUCGCGGUCUAGUUCCUCAGCCUUUUACAUCCCUGCAGUUAUUAGAAAUUCCGGAUAUUUCUGGGUUUUAAGGAAUUGUUUCAUUUCUAGAUAUCUUUUCUGUAAGAUAAGUAUUGUUUGAAACUAUAUUUUUAGGCGUCUGGCCAAGGAAAAUAGAAGGCUGGCUUUUGUAUGUCUUGGAUGACAAGAGCUAAUAACAAAUAUGUCUUACUAAUCUGUUGCUUUGUAAAAGAUGUUGUUCUGUAUAGCGCAUCCCUUCUUGAUAACUAUGCAGUCUAGUAAAGGAAGUUUGUCUUUACUUUUGUCAGUUGCAAACCUUAUGUUUGCAUUAAGACGGAGUACUUGAUGUUGUACAUAUUUGAGGCAUUGAAAUUGUUUUGCUGGUCCCAGGUGGAGGCGCCAUAAUCCAGUUUAGGUGCGACAUACGAGUUAUACAACUUUACGGAGGUCCAGGAAUCCCUAGUCUUUCAAAUUGUGUACUGUAUUUAUCAGACUUCCAAGAGCACGUCCCGCCGGAUUUUGAAAACAAAUCGCAGUUUGUCGAGUAGUCACCUUUUUCAUGAAAUGUAAUUCCAAGAUAUUUGUAAGUUUCGACUGUUUCUUUAUAUAUUGUCACCAAUUUUGAAUACACAAUCUGACCUUGGAACCCUGCCCGAUCUGAAGUACAUGCAUUUUGACUUGUUUGUGUUGAUGAUGAGCUUCCAAUGUCUCCACCAGUCGUGCAAAGUAUCAAGCAUAGACUGUAGUUUUCUUCCUUGUCUGAAAUUAGAGGAUAGAUUUUUUGUUGGAUUUAACGUCGCACCGACACAAAGAGGUUAGAUAUCUUAACGUCUCCCAUUUCGAUGCCAAGGUCAAGGUCAAGUUAUAUCCUUCACAAGGUCAUUAGCGAAUACUGAGAAUAUUGUCGGCGACAAAUUACAUCCCUGUUUUAACUCCGUUGUACAUUCAAACCAAUCAGUGAAUUUGUUAUUGAUACGAAUACAUGACUCCGAAUUAAUGUAUAUAUUUGUACAUAAUGGUAUUGUACAGUUUUCCAUCUAUGUUAUGAAGGAGGAGUUUAUAUACUUAGUAUCAUGUCCCUAUCAAUAAAAUCAAAGCACUUUUUGAGGUCAACUGUAAGCGGUAAAUAUGGUAUUGUUGUUUUUCACAAUACUAUUUAGCGUAAAAAUAUGAUCCUCACAUGAUCUGUUCGACCGAAACCCAUCCUGUUCAUCUGCCAGAAGAUCAUAAUCUUCUAAGUAUUUACUUAGUCUUUUGUUAAUUAACGAGCUGUAUAAUUUACCAAUGCACGAUAACAAACUGACUCCUCUGUAAUUAAACGGAAUUCUUUUGUCCGAACUAGCGUCUUUCAAAAUGGAACAUAUUAUCGCCUUUCUUCAAAUAGAUGGAAUUAAGCUACUGUCAAAUAAUAAUAAAAAUAAUCAUUGAAGCACAGUUAUCACUGGCGGGUAUUUGAGCACAUUAUAAGGAAAACAAAAAAGAACCCGGAACGGGAACCAAAUACCGUAAAAUUACAAAAUGACUUCACACGCUCGCUUAGUUUUUCUUAAAUUUUCAUAUAAAAGUCACAAUCUAGUAAUAUAUAUAUAUAUAUAUAUAUAUAUAUAUAUAUAUAUAUAGAGAGAGAGAGAGAGAGAGAGAGAGAGAGAGAGAUUUUAUGAAAAUUAUUACAGUUUGAUAGAAUUGUUGUAUUUAUCUUACCGUACGGAGCAGAAAGUUGGGGUGUUUAUCAUUUCAAAGGUGAAAAUAAUUUACAUCUGAAAUUUUGCAAAUAUUUACUAGGUGUAAAUAAGCAGACGCCAAAUAAUGCUGAUUGUAGUGAAUUAGGUCGCAUUCCAUUAUCUACUAUUUGUAAAGAGAGGUCUGUUAAAUAUUGGUUGAAAUUAAUGAAGAAUGUUGAUUCUCCAAUGAAUAGUUAGUAUCAAAAUUUAUGUUCAAAUGAUAUAGGUAAGAAUUGGGCUAAACGAAUGCAUUCUAUUAUUGAUCAUCUGAACCUGACACAUGUGCGUCAGUACUUUAUCAGAAUAUAAACUAUCUUUCUUCGUUUAAACUGAGAUUACGUGACCAGUUUAUUCAAGAAUGAAAUGCAUCGAUUAAUUCAAUGUCAAAGCAUUAUUUUCAAUUUAAAACAGUCUUUGUUUUGAAGAAUACAUUGAUAAAAUUGCCAGUGAAUUUUUUUUUUUAAUGUUUACGUGUUUCAGAUUGAGCUCCCGUUAGUUAGAAAUCGAGUCUGGUAGAUUUAAUAAUAUUGAUCGAAAUAUUAGAAUAUGCAGAAUAUGCCAUUAAAAUGCAGUUGAAAAUAAGUACCAUUUCUUGUUUGUUGUUACAGUAGUAAAUAUCCUAUUGUUAGAAAUAAGUAUUUGGGAAAUACAGCAUGGCCUACAGUUCAGAUGUUUAAGAAGUAUUAUAUCAACAAGGAAUAAGAAACGUCUUGUAAACAUUUGUAGAUAUAUAAAAGAAUCUAUUACGAUAAGACAAAAUACCCUAUCAAAUAUUGCUGUUUCUUAAUUUAUUUAUGUUUGGUAUUUUACAAUACAAUGUAUGUGAUAUUCUCAUAAAUGUGUUAUGUUUAUGCCAUAUAUGAUACAUUUUUGUUUGCCAUGUAUAUCAUAUGUUGUAUGGUAAAUGGCCAAAGGCUUAUUUAAUUGCCUAUUUUGCUAAUACAGUUGAUUGAUGAGUGUUGAUUUCUUUUUAGCUUAUAAGCAUAUAAUACCUCUAGCUACAUUACAAGGUAUAGUGUAGAGAUUUACACGUUAUGUAGUGAGAACAAAAUGGGAUAUAAUGAGAGAGGCUUUCAAUAACGAUAUAAAAUUUGAGAAUCGGAUGAAGUUUUACUAUGAAAAGAAGUGGUUUUAUAAAGUUUGUACAUAAAUAACAGCAUACAAAUAUGUAUUAGUUUCAUUAUUUUGCCUUUAAAGUUGUGCUAGAUAAAUAUACUUAGAUAAAUUUAA